GGGUAGCGGAACACGUACGCAACCUUCCCAAAUUGGUGAAUAGCCCUCCGAAAGGAGGAUUAAUACACCGUAACAUAAUUUGAUGGCAUCAUUAGAUUAUUAUAGCUCCGGCGAUUUUGGAUGGGCGUGCGCCUGAUUAGGUAGUUGGUAGGGUAAUGGCCUACCAAGCCAACGAUCAGUAACUGGUGUGAGAGCACGACCAGUCACACGGGCACUGAGACACGGGCCCG
rnacentral:rRNA from 1 species